CUACAGGCACCAGGCUGCCUAGGAAGCCAGGUGGUGACUUUAAGAUCUCUGUGGAGAAACGCACAGCUCGACGGAGGAUCCGACGAAGAACCAACCUAAAGGGGUUCAGAGCCCAGACAUGAACUCCCAGCAGCUCAUGCCCUUCCAGACUCACGGGGCACCUGACAUCCCAGGGAAGACGCCAUCAGCGAUGCAGAUGCUGAGUGUGCGGAUGUGGUCAGCUACCACGCGGUACGCUGUGUCUGUGCGCCCCUCAUCUGCCACCCCUACCCGGCCCAAGUAAGGGGGUGCCCUGCAGCCCUGGGAAGCAGGAGAGAAAGAGUUGGCCAGUGGUCCUGCCUGACCUGGCCCAGGUGGGUGCUCUUUAUCACCGCCAGAGCACCUGCCGUUAGCCCUAAAGCCAGCCACAUCCAGAAUGGCCUUGCCAGUCCAGUCAUGGGCUCAGAAGCCUUAUGGAUGAACAGGAGCCAGGCCCUAUCCCUGUGGAACUCAUGUUUGGUGCUACAAGUGAUCACAUCUGUGAUCACUUACUGAAUUUCUACUAUCAGAACUGGGUUAGUGCUUGAACAACAUGACCUCUAAUCCCCAAAACAGCCUGUUCCGGAAAGUAUCAGUAUCCUUGCUUUAAAGAAGAGGAAGCUGAGGCUCAGAGGAACUCGGUGAUAGAGGCUACAACUCACAAGGAGCAGAUCUGAGAUCUCAGCCAGGCCUGUUGGACUCCAGGUGCCUUCCACUACCCGUUCUCGCCUCUCCCAUCUUUUGUGGGGGUACGCAGAAAGGGAGGGCGUAAGCUACAUACACAUGGAAGUGAUCCAAGGCAGGGAACUUGUUUACCUAGCUCCAAACCUCUCUCUUCCCCAGGCUUCAUUUCAGGAAACAGUCAUGCCAGUCACUAUGUUGCUCAAGUCAAUAGCCUGGGAGCCAUCUUUGAUUUCUCUUUCUCCUCCCCAUCCAAUCCAUCAGUGGGUCCUUUUGCUUCUACCUCCAUGAGAUCUCUCAAAUCAAUCUAUUUGUCUCUACUUCCACUGCUGUUAGCUGAAGCCAUGCCCUGUGAUCUUUGCCUGGACUGGUAAUAGCCUCCCAACUGAUUCCUCAGCUUCUGCUCUUGUCUCCCUCCAGCUCAUCCUCCACACAGCAACAGGAGUCGCCUUUCAAAAGUGUACACCAGGCUGGACACAGUGGCUCAUGCCUGUAAUCCCAACACUCUGGGAGGCUGAAGUGGGUGGAUCACCCGAGGUCAAGAGUUCAAGAUUACUCUGGCCAACAUGGUGAGAGUCCAUCUCUACUAAAAAUACAAAAAUUAGCCAGGGAUGGUGGUAGGUGCCUGUAAUCCCAGCUACUCAGGAGGCUGAGGCAGGAGAAUAGCUUGAGUCCAGGAGGCAGAAGUAGCAGUGAGCCGAGAUCAUGCCACUGCACUCCAGCCUGGGCAACAGAGCAAGACUCUGCCUCAAAAAAAAAAAGUUAUCAGCUGGGAGUGGCAUGAUCUGAUGCAUACUUUUAUUUAUUUAUUUAGAGACUAAGUCUCACUCUGUUGCCCAGGUUGGAGUACAGUGGCACAAUCUCGGCUCACUGCAACCUCCACCUCCCAGGUUCAAGCAAUUUCCUCCUGUCUCAGCCUCCCAAGUGGCUGGGACUACAGGUGUGUGCCAUCAUGCCUGGCUAAUUUUUCUAUUUUUUAGUAGUGACAGGGUUUUGUCAUGUUGGCCAGGCUGGUCCUGACCUCAAGUGAUCUGCCUCCCUCAGCCUCCCCAAGUGCUGGGAUUAUAGGCGUGAGCCACCGCGCCUGGCCCUGAGAACCCUUCUCGGCCACUCUGAGAAUCAAAGCACCACUUUGGACUUUAAGGCCCACAAGACUGGACUCUGCCUUCUUCUCUGUAGUAGACUGUUCGCAAAAAUGGCCCUUUCCUAUGCAUAUGCCACUUUAAAAUGGGACUUCGCAGCUGUUUCCCAUCAAGAGACAGAAUCCAUUUUCCAUCCCCUGAAUCUUUGUGACUUGCUUUGGCCCAUAGAAUAUGGUAGAAAUAACAUUGUCCUGAGCCUAUGUGUCUGAUCUCUGUCUUGGUAUCUUGCUGAGCUGUGAUGUGGACAAGCCCAGACUAACCAGCUAGGUGAUGACAGACACAUGGCCCAGUCACCCCAACUGCCCCCAAACUGACAGUCAGUCAAACCCCAGAAGAGGAGCUGCCUCUCAGCUGACCACAGAUGGAUGAGUGAGCUCACACAAGACCCAAAGAAAGCCCAGCCUGAACUGCUACCCUGCAGACUCAGGGGGCAAAUAAAUGGUUGUCGGUUAAGCCACAGAGCAUUAGGAUGGUUUGCUAUGCCGCAAAAGCUAACUGACACAUGUCCCAACUAUAUCCCAUGGGAUUCUCCUUUUUGUUCUUGGCACAUGUCAAGCCCUUUCUUGCAGGGAAAGGAGGGAGGGUAUAAGCUACACACACAUGAAAAUGCUUCAAAGCAGGGAGCUCGAUGCACCUAGCUCCAAACCCCUCUCUUCCCCAAGCUUCAUCUCAAUAAACAGUCAUGCCAUUCACUUUGUUACUCAAGUCAAUAGCCUGGGAGCCAUCUUUGAUUUCUCUUUCCCCUCCCUAUCCAAUCCAUCAGUACUAAGGCCCUUGGUACCUGCUGUCCCCUCUGCCUGGAAAGAGCUUCCUGUGGCUGAUUCCUCUUCCACUGGGGCUCAACUCAAAGGUCACCUUCUUGGUGAGCCUUCCCCAAACACCUUAUCUAAGACUCCUCUGCACCCUCCUUCCUCCUAGUUACUCUCACCUAUGGUUACUGCCUGUUCACAGUCUCCAAGCUAUUACCUUGCUCUUUAACACACUUAUUGUCUAUCUCUCAUGCUAGCAUGUAAUCUUCAUGAUCUCUUUUCUGUUUACUGAUGUGUCUUCUGUAGCAAGCACAAAAGACUUAACACAAAGGAGCCACUCAACACGUAUUUUCUGAAUAAAUGAAAGAAGGAGUCAGGAGCAACAUCAGGUAAUAA